ACAGGGCUCUGACCUAUGAAUUGACAGCCAGUGCUCUUGUCUCCCCUCUGGCUGCCAAUUCCAUAGGUCACAGGUAUGU
rfam:Camelus ferus unplaced genomic scaffold scaffold429, whole genome shotgun sequence.